ACUGGGUACAAGGUCGAGGAAACAUUAAUUCUCCCCUAAACAAGCCUAGCAUGGGCGGGUUUCGCACACGAUAUCUGGCAUCACUCUCUAGACACAAUCUUUAUCUAGAACCUAACCUAAAGCUAAAGUUCCAGAUCCUAACUAGACUCUCGACUCUACAACACUAACCACUAGUACCAGUAGUCCGACCUAUGUGGCCUAGGACCUCUAGUACUUCUAAUCAACUAAACAACUACAUCAUUAAUAAAUAACCUCAACUCAACCAGUUAGUCAGUCCCUUACCAAACUAACCUCAAUCAGCAAGAUUAAUUAAACGAGCAAGCAUUUAAUUAAAUCUAACAAUGAACUCAAUCAAACCAUUACCCAUAUAUACCAGCCUCUUGGUGAGAAACUAUCUUAAAAGAUAACAUGAACCUAUACUCAACCAUAUCAACACGCAAGAAUAAAAUCACAAUAGCAAUGAUUAUCUAAGCGUGCAAUUUAACUACCUAGCAAUCAACCAAGCAUUCAUUCAAACAAUCCUAAACUAUCCAAACUGUUACCAAGUCAGGCCCGGCCUCCUGCUGUGAUCCUAACUUAACAAUAACGGAAACUUGCACUUAACCAU
rnacentral:lncRNA from 1 species